rnacentral:rRNA from 1 species
GUUGGGUUAAGUCCCGCAACGAGCGCAACCCUCAUCCUUAGUUACCAUCAGGUAAUGCUGGGGACUUUAAGGAAACUGCCAGUGAUAAACUGGAGGAAGGUGGGGAUGAUGUCAAGUCAUCAUGGCCCUUAUGGAGUGGGCUACACACGUGCUACAAUGGUGGCUACAAUGGGCUGCAAAGUCGCGAGGCUAAGCUAAUCCCUUAAAAGCCAUCUCAGUUCGGAUUGUACUCUGCAACUCGAGUGCAUGAAGUUGGAAUCGCUAGUAAUCGUGGAUCAGCACGCCACGGUGAAUACGUUCUCGGGUCUUGUACACACUGCCCGUCA